GGAAAAACUGGUAUUAACUGAGGUCUUCAUGCCUGCACCCUUGUUCCAGGAUAAAGAGCUAAACAGCAUAGGUGGUUAGUGCUUUUUGGAGUAUUUUGAUGGCUAUGGGCAUUGCCCAGGAGCUCUAAUGCCCCAGUAAGCCUCUGUAUCUCAUGCACAUUUCUUCAUGUGAGUUCUGCUGGAAAGGGAUGAAUUCUACCAGAUAUCAGACUUCACCCUGAAAACUGAAUUGGCUAAACUACUGUCUUUGAUCUUGCUUUGCCUACAGUUCUUGCAACACUGAAUAAGCUGGUAUGUCAUAGUUAUCUGUAGGAUGAGACAAACAAGACUGCAUGAGUGGACUGUAUUUCUGAAAACCAAGAGCAGCAAAUACCUUCUCUCUGUAUGUGCACACUUCUGCCUUUGAGGAAAGGAGGAAAGAAGAGUCAACACAGCACCCACUUUAUUAGGCUGCGGUCAGUGGAGAUGGGCAGCGGGUACAGUCACUCCUCCAGCGCUCCCUGUGCUCUCGCAGAGAUGACUGCUGGCCUCUGAGAGCUCCUCUGGAGCAGGGAUGAGUCACUGCCCAAGGGUAAACAGUGAAUACUAUGAUGACACUCACGUUUGAAAGACAGUGAGGUAGAACAAACAAGGUAAUUUCUUAAUAAAUAUU
rnacentral:lncRNA from 1 species